rnacentral:misc_RNA from 1 species
GGCAAAGACAAAAAUUAAUUACCACAAAUUAUAUUUACAGAAGACUUAUUACAAUCCAUGUUUUCACAACAUGCCAAGUCAGGCUAAACAGUGAAAAUAUAUCCAAACACACACUAAUUAAAAAUUACAAGGUUAUCACUCAAGAAGAAACAUGCUUUAAGAGUUAACACUUCAUUUUACCCACAAGGUCAUUUUAUUGGUACUGCACUUAGUCUUCACAAGUCUCUUGCCACAGUAGGUUAUCUUUAGUUCCAGCUAUAGCUAAUAGGGGUAAUACCUAACAGUUGAGUCAGCAUUUCAAAAGCAGGAUCAGAAUGCUGUGCAGAGAUUGUCAACCUUAAUGUUAGAGGAACAUUCUCGUCGAAUAGGGCUGGUAGGACCACACAACCUGCUUCUCUUUGGUUCGGAUAUCCUUACACGAGACAUUGCCACAGCAAGGACAUCAACGAAUCCACAGUCUUGCUCGUCCAACCUCUUUAUUGAACCACCAGAUGAUAAAAUUAGGCUAGUGUCAUCACUGAGAAAGCUGCUGGUUGUUAUAUCGAUUCUCUCAGACUCCAACCCAUCUUUGCCAGUUAGUCUUUGGAAAGUCAAUCUUACAUGGUUUCCUAACUUCGGUUUUACUGUACGUAACUUCAAAGUUGGUUCUGUAUGGAACAAGAUCCACGGAUGCCCUGUAAAAUCACACUUCAGGUUAUAAAACACACUAAAUGACAGUAACAAAGCUUUAUCCAACGUAUAACUAAGAACUAAUUUGAUCUCAGUUCAUGGAAAAAUAAGAACAGAAUAUAAAUAUUUGAUAUCUUGAAUGUCAAGACUCAUGAGAAUUGCUCCAUUUGGCUACUUGUUCGGCAUACAGGACAAGUGGCCCACAUCCCGAGUCCUUGCUAGUUAGUCUUAAAUCUUAAUGUGAUACUUCCAAACAUUUCCAUGAACCAAAAUGUCAUAGACUCAGAAAGCCACACAAAGCAGUAUGAUGCUAUGUGAAGUAUCAAAUAACUGGUUGCCUAGAAAUAUUAUCAGAUAUUUGCUGCCACUUGCCUUCAACAUGGACUUUUUAGCAACUGAUUUAAUUAGUAAUUCAUCAGCAGUUAGUCUUGAUGAAACAUCCCUAUUGAGCAUUCUGGCAACGAGAUCCCUUGCAGGUUGGGAUACUGACUCCCAUAACCCACUCUCAAAAUCUAGGUUAACCUUCUUAAUUGCCUCAAAUACUGCAUCCAAAGAGUCACCUUGAAAUGGAAGAAUGCCAACCAACAGAGCAUGAAGGAGGACACCAGCACUCCAAAUAUCAGCCUUUUCUGAAUAGUUGCCAAGUAGAACUUCUGGGGCAACAUAGGCAGGACUUCCAACUACACCUGUAAGGCUCUGACCAUUUGAAAUCCUCAUAGCUAGCCCAAAAUCUGCAAGCUUCAUUUGCCCAGAAGUCGUAACAAGGAUAUUUUCAGGCUUUAUGUCCCGAUGAACAACACCCAUAUCAUGGCAAUAUUUGAUAACUGAAAUCAACUCCCUCAGUACAUUAGCAGCGUGAUGCUCUGAAUAUUGCCCUUCCCUAGCCAUCUGGUCAAGCAAUCGCCCCCCAGAACAAAGCUCCAUCACAAGAUAGAAAGAUUCUGAAUCCUCAUACACAGCCUUCAAUGUUACAAUGCCUGGAUGACCAGAAAGGUGCUGCAUUAUCUCCACCUCUCGAUGCACAAGAUCCUCACCCUUGCGCAACAUUUUGCAUGCAAAUUCUUCUCCAGUCACUUUACUUCUACACAACACUACAGAUCCAAACUUACCUUUCCCAAUUGUUGCACCCAAAUCAUAUUGUUGCUCGAUCUUUUUCUUCCGACCCAAUUGUGUUGCUACAUCAAUACAACCAAUUUUCCUCUUAAGACCCCUACAAGGUGGAUCUAAAGAGGAACUCCUAAAAUGGGGGGCAGUGACAAUUCCUUUAACUACACUCCUAGGGGAACCAACUUCCUUAUCUUCAUCUUCCUUGCACUUCUUCUUCUGCCUUGAAUAAUCUCCCAGUGACAAGUGAGACCAAAUAAUAGCAGAUGAAGUCAAGGAUUUGCCACAUAAUGGCAAAACUUCUAGGCCCUUUCUCUUCCUUCUUAACAACUCCAUCAAACAAUCAAGGUCAAGUAAUUCUUAAAUGCCCCCAAAACAAUACGCAACCAAAACAAGAUACUACAUUUCCAAAAUGGUAAUAUUACUCCAGAAAGCCAAACCAAACAAAUUAUAAACUAAAGUCUCUUCAAGUGAAAUCAAAGCAAUAACCAUUCUAUCACAAGAUUAGAUCCUUGCAUACAUUCUGCAAUUCCAGCACAAGGAUAUUAAUAAGAACACCCUUUUACUCUACUCAACAAUAAAAAUCUUAAUAGUAAUUCCAGACCAGAAGUAAUAGGAUCAAGUUAGUAUCCGACCUUUGAACAUUAGAAGCCUCUCGUUCUUCUUCUUUCGAAUCAUGUUCACCCACAAUUCAAAGACUUUAGACAUUGAUUGAUUUCGAUUUGUAAACAAAAUCUGUAAACAUAAAAAAUAUCCAAGAAGACAAACGAUCAACCCAAAAAUUUAAAGGAAAAUAAAAGACCCACCCAAUUUAAGUUGCUAAAAUUUGCCAAUAAAUAAAUAUAUCAACAGAUCACCCUUAUCACUUAACUGUGACUUACAACAAUUAAGCCAGACCUAACCAAAACCAAAGACAAAUCAUCUAGCCCAUAAAAAUUUCUUAAAAAAAAAAGGAAAAAAGCUUUUUGCUUGUAAUUGGAGUUCCAAAAAGACACGAAAUAAGUGAACUUCCAAAAAAGAAAAACAUGCCCUUUUUAUCUUUUCCUUGAUUUUCUCAGAAAACAAACAGAUAUCAUUCCCAGCACCAAAAAUUAAGGAA